rnacentral:rRNA from 1 species
UACGUAGGUGGCAAGCGUUGUCCGGAAUUAUUGGGCGUAAAGCGCGCGCAGGCGGCUUCCUAAGUUUGAUGUGAAAUCUCGGGGCUCAACCCCGAGCGGCCAUUGGAAACUGGGAAGCUUGAGUACAGAAGAGGAGAGUGGAAUUCCACGUGUAGCGGUGAAAUGCGUAGAUAUGUGGAGGAACACCAGUGGCGAAGGCGACUCUCUGGUCUGUAACUGACGCUGAGGCGCGAAAGCGUGGGGAGCAAACAGG